GACGAACGCUGGCGGCGUGCUUAACACAUGCAAGUCGAACGGAAAGGCCCUGCUUUUGUGGGGUGCUCGAGUGGCGAACGGGUGAGUAACACGUGAGUAACCUGCCCUUGACUUUGGGAUAACUUCAGGAAACUGGGGCUAAUACCGGAUAGGAGCUCCUGCUGCAUGGUGGGGGUUGGAAAGUUUCGGCGGUUGGGGAUGGACUCGCGGCUUAUCAGCUUGUUGGUGGGGUAGUGGCUUACCAAGGCUUUGACGGGUAGCCGGCCUGAGAGGGUGACCGGCCACAUUGGGACUGAGAGACGGCCCAGACUCGUACGGGAGGCAGCAGUGGGGAAUAUUGCACAAUGGGCGGAAGCCUGAUGCAGCAACGCCGCGUGCGGGAUGACGGCUUUCGGGUUGUAAACCGCUUUCGCCUGUGACGAAGAGUGAGUGACGGUAAUGGGUAAAGAAGCACCGGCUAACUACGUG
rnacentral:rRNA from 1 species